AAACUGAAGAGUUUGAUCAUGGCUCAGAUUGAACGCUGGCGGCAGGCUUAACACAUGCAAGUCGA
rnacentral:ncRNA from 2 species